rnacentral:lncRNA from 1 species
GGACCGGUCAUAAAGUAACUGCUAGGGUGGGCUGGAGUGAUUUGGGAUGGGCCAUGGAAAAUCUUUGGGCAGUUUCGAUGGGCCGCCAAUUUUUUUGUAUGUCCACGGUUGGGCCACCAAACAAAAACCCAUGCAUGUCUACUUCAAAAAAUAAAGAUAUUAAUAAUAAAAGUAAACAAAACUAUCUAAAUUAUCAAAUGCAAAUGAUGCUAUUGAAGCCAGUACUUUGUUUAUACAACAACAAAAAGUGGUCGAAUCACAGGAAAUACAACCAACUGGAGA